rnacentral:rRNA from 1 species
AAGCUCGUAGUUGAAUUUCGGGGUUAGUAGGUUGGUCAUGCCUCUGGUAUGUACUGGUCUCACUGAUUCCUCCUUCCUGAUGAACCGUAAUGCCAUUAAUUUGGUGUUGCGGGGAAUUUGGACUGUUACUUUGAAAAAAUUAGAGUGUUUAAAGCAAGCUAACGCUUGAAUACAUUAGCAUGGAAUAAUGAAAUAGGACGUUCGAUCCUAUUUUGUUGGUUUCUAGGAUUGACGUAAUGAUUAAUAGGGAUAGUUGGGGGCAUUAGUAUUCAAUUGUCAGAGGUGAAAUUCUUGGAUUUAUUGAAGACUAACUACUGCGAAAGCAUUUGCCAAGGAUGUUUUCAUUAAUCAAGAACGAAAGUUAGGGGAUCGAAGACGAUCAGAUACCGUCGUAGUCUUAACCAUAAACUAUGCCGACUAGGGAUCGGAUGAUGUUAAUUUUUUAAUGACUCAUUCGGCGCCUUACGGGAAACCAAAGUGUUUGGGUUCCGAGGGGAGUAUGGUCGCAAGGCCGAAACUUAAAGGAAUUGACGGAACGGCACCACCAGGGGUGGAGCCUGCGGCUUAAUUUGACUCAACACGGGGAAA